rnacentral:lncRNA from 1 species
CUGAUUUAUCCCAUAGAAUCUAUGAAUCCACAUCAAAUUGAUCUUCCUCAGCACCUGGUCCUGGCUAUGCUUCUGAUUCUUCUUUUCUUCAGUGAUCAGGUUUUUCAUCUUGCCCAUCAUCUUCUGGACCUCAAAUACCUGCUGAAGACCAGAUUUUGCCUUAAUUUAGCGGGCUUGAACUCUACUGAUGAUAUGAAGCAACCCUGCCCUACCUGGUCGAGAAGGAAAAUGAUGUUGCAGCAAAGAAUGAAGAGGAUGCCUUGUUGAAAGCUAAGCCUGUUGCUGCAGCAAGCAGAUCUUUCACCAGAGCAAUGACUCAACACACCACAAGGCAACUGAGUCUUGCUGCACUCCAGAGACUGUGGUUAGAAAUAUGUCACCAGCGGGAGCAUCAUUAAUCACAAUUUUAGGAGUGACAGUCAGUUUCUUGACCUCGUUGAGACAGGCAGGGAGGUCAGAGCUUCAAGCAGUUCAUCCUCCAGGCAAGGAAAACUAUUGGGAAGAUUUCCUUUUUGUUAUCGCUGGCAUUUUUAUUUAAUCCCAUCAUUUUCCCCACAGUCUGGGCAGAAGUACAAAAGCUUCAGACAGGCACAUUCUGCCCUUUUCUCUUUUUCUCUCUGCCAAAAGUAACCUUGGCAAUUGAUGGUUUAGGGAAAAGCUACCAUUCCCCUUUUCCUCAAUCUUAUUUUCUCUCAUCCAUCUUCUCUUAUUCUCUUUCUUUGGUCACACUUCUCUUGGGGUCUAAAGAUCAGGAGGGUAGAAAGAGUCAUCUUAAUGGAGCCUGAUGUUAGCAGCCCUGCCUAUUUCUCUGUAUUGAUUGUAGGGGAAGGUUAGGAAGAAAUCUUCCCUGCAUGAGGGCACAUAUGUUCCUCCCACAGUGGUCAGCCUGGUUGCUGCUGUUGGAAGAGGGCUGGUGUUGUUAUUAGAGCCUGUCACAGCCGAUGAAUUUCAUUCCAGGCCCUACAUAGGAAGUUUCAAAAAGGAAAAACACCAAGAAUGAAAAGAAUUCAAGAACGUUGGUUUGUAUAUCUGAGUGCACAUUAGGACAUUAAAAGCAUAUUUAAUUUCAUACAGAAAAUCAUCGUGAUAUCAUAACAAAAGACAGGUUUGAAAUCAGAAAGUGAAUAGGGUAAAAGGAGAUUUAAAUCAUUCACUGCAUUACUACUGUGCCAUGUGCAUAAUAGGCCCCUGGGGAUACAGAAUUUAAGAUACUGGAUGUAGUCCUACAUUUGUAGUCUGUACAUUCUUGGGGGAGGGAGAUGGAUAAAUAAACAGGUUUUUAAAAAAGAAGAAAAUUUAAAA